UCCGAUCUAGAGUUUGAUCCUGGCUCAGAGUGAACGCUGGCGGUAGGCCUAACACAUGCAAGUCGAACGGCAGCACAGUAAGAGCUUGAUCUUACGGGUGGCGAGUGGCGGACGGGUGAGGAAUACAUCGGAAUCUACUUUUUCGUGGGGGAUAACGUAGGGAAACUUACGUUAAUACCGCAUACGACCUACGGGUGAAAGCAGGGGAUCUUCGGACCUUGCGCGAUUGAAUGAGCCGAUGUCGGAUUAGCUAGUUGGCGGGGUAAAGGCCCACCAAGGCGACGAUCCGUAGCUGGUCUGAGAGGAUGAUCAGCCACACUGGAACUGAGACACGGUCCAGACUCCUACGGGAGGCAGCAGUGGGGAAUAUUGGACAAUGGGCGCAAGCCUGAUCCAGCCAUACCGCGUGGGUGAAGAAGGCCUUCGGGUUGUAAAGCCCUUUUGUUGGGAAAGAAAAGCAGCAGGUUAAUACCCCGCUGUUCUGACGGUACCCAAAGAAUAAGCACCGGCUAACUUCGUG
rnacentral:rRNA from 1 species